GUGAAUCAUCGAAUUUUUGAACGCAAAUUGCACUCCCUGGUAUUCCGGGGAGUAUGCCUGUUUGAGGGUCAGUUUAAAUAAAAAUCGGUGUGGUUGCUGCCUUUCGUGGUGUCGCCUCGGAUUUGGGUGGUCUUUGCUUCGGUUAAGUUACCUCACAUUUUGCAUGAUUUUUUCCUACGUAUUUUAAUUAUUUUACGUACGUUUGCGAUGUUGUGUACUAGGUGGGGU
rnacentral:misc_RNA from 1 species